GGUCAAGUGAAGAAGCGCAUACGGUGGAUGCCUUGGCAGUCAGAGGCGAUGAAAGACGUGGUAGCCUGCGAAAAGCUUCGGGGAGUCGGCAAACAGACUUUGAUCCGGAGAUCUCUGAAUGGGGGAACCCACCUAGGAUAACCUAGGUAUCUUGUACUGAAUCCAUAGGUGCAAGAGGCGAACCAGGGGAACUGAAACAUCUAAGUACCCUGAGGAAAAGAAAUCAACCGAGAUUCCCUUAGUAGUGGCGAGCGAACGGGGAUUAGCCCUUAAGCUUCAUUGAUUUUAGCGGAACGCUCUGGAAAGUGCGGCCAUAGUGGGUGAUAGCCCCGUACGCGAAAGGAUCUUUGAAGUGAAAUCGAGUAGGACGGAGCACGAGAAACUUUGUCUGAACAUGGGGGGACCAUCCUCCAAGGCUAAAUACUACUGACUGACCGAUAGUGAACCAGUACCGUGAGGGAAAGGCGAAAAGAACCCCGGAGAGGGGAGUGAAAUAGAACCUGAAACCGUAUGCGUACAAGCAGUGGGAGCCUACUUGUUAGGUGACUGCGUACCUUUUGUAUAAUGGGUCAGCGACUUAUAUUCAGUGGCAAGCUUAACCGUAUAGGGUAGGCGUAGCGAAAGCGAGUCUUAAUAGGGCGUUUAGUCGCUGGGUAUAGACCCGAAACCGGGCGAUCUAUCCAUGAGCAGGUUGAAGGUUAGGUAACACUGACUGGAGGACCGAACCCACUCCCGUUGAAAAGGUAGGGGAUGACUUGUGGAUCGGAGUGAAAGGCUAAUCAAGCUCGGAGAUAGCUGGUUCUCCUCGAAAGCUAUUUAGGUAGCGCCUCAUGUAUCACUCUGGGGGGUAGAGCACUGUUUCGGCUAGGGGGUCAUCCCGACUUACCAAACCGAUGCAAACUCCGAAUACCCAGAAGUGCCGAGCAUGGGAGACACACGGCGGGUGCUAACGUCCGUCGUGAAAAGGGAAACAACCCAGACCGCCAGCUAAGGUCCCAAAGUUGUGGUUAAGUGGUAAACGAUGUGGGAAGGCUUAGACAGCUAGGAGGUUGGCUUAGAAGCAGCCACCCUUUAAAGAAAGCGUAAUAGCUCACUAGUCGAGUCGGCCUGCGCGGAAGAUGUAACGGGGCUCAAACCACACACCGAAGCUGCGGGUGUCACGUAAGUGACGCGGUAGAGGAGCGUUCUGUAAGCCUGUGAAGGUGAGUUGAGAAGCUUGCUGGAGGUAUCAGAAGUGCGAAUGCUGACAUGAGUAACGACAAUGGGUGUGAAAAACACCCACGCCGAAAGACCAAGGGUUCCUGCGCAACGUUAAUCGACGCAGGGUUAGUCGGUUCCUAAGGCGAGGCUGAAAAGCGUAGUCGAUGGGAAACAGGUUAAUAUUCCUGUACUUCUGGUUACUGCGAUGGAGGGACGGAGAAGGCUAGGCCAGCUUGGCGUUGGUUGUCCAAGUUUAAGGUGGUAGGCUGAAAUCUUAGGUAAAUCCGGGGUUUCAAGGCCGAGAGCUGAUGACGAGUCGUCUUUUAGAUGACGAAGUGGUUGAUGCCAUGCUUCCAAGAAAAGCUUCUAAGCUUCAGGUAACCAGGAACCGUACCCCAAACCGACACAGGUGGUCGGGUAGAGAAUACCAAGGCGCUUGAGAGAACUCGGGUGAAGGAACUAGGCAAAAUGGCACCGUAACUUCGGGAGAAGGUGCGCCGGCUAGGGUGAAGGAUUUACUCCGUAAGCUCUGGCUGGUCGAAGAUACCAGGCCGCUGCGACUGUUUAUUAAAAACACAGCACUCUGCAAACACGAAAGUGGACGUAUAGGGUGUGACGCCUGCCCGGUGCCGGAAGGUUAAUUGAUGGGGUUAGCGCAAGCGAAGCUCUUGAUCGAAGCCCCGGUAAACGGCGGCCGUAACUAUAACGGUCCUAAGGUAGCGAAAUUCCUUGUCGGGUAAGUUCCGACCUGCACGAAUGGCGUAACGAUGGCGGCGCUGUCUCCACCCGAGACUCAGUGAAAUUGAAAUCGCUGUGAAGAUGCAGUGUAUCCGCGGCUAGACGGAAAGACCCCGUGAACCUUUACUGUAGCUUUGCACUGGACUUUGAGCCUGCUUGUGUAGGAUAGGUGGGAGGCUUUGAAGCGUGGACGCCAGUUCGCGUGGAGCCAUCCUUGAAAUACCACCCUGGCAUGCUUGAGGUUCUAACUCUGGUCCGUAAUCCGGAUCGAGGACAGUGUAUGGUGGGCAGUUUGACUGGGGCGGUCUCCUCCUAAAGAGUAACGGAGGAGUACGAAGGUGCGCUCAGACCGGUCGGAAAUCGGUCGCAGAGUAUAAAGGCAAAAGCGCGCUUGACUGCGAGACAGACACGUCGAGCAGGUACGAAAGUAGGUCUUAGUGAUCCGGUGGUUCUGUAUGGAAGGGCCAUCGCUCAACGGAUAAAAGGUACUCCGGGGAUAACAGGCUGAUACCGCCCAAGAGUUCAUAUCGACGGCGGUGUUUGGCACCUCGAUGUCGGCUCAUCACAUCCUGGGGCUGAAGCCGGUCCCAAGGGUAUGGCUGUUCGCCAUUUAAAGUGGUACGCGAGCUGGGUUUAGAACGUCGUGAGACAGUUCGGUCCCUAUCUGCCGUGGACGUUUGAGAUUUGAGAGGGGCUGCUCCUAGUACGAGAGGACCGGAGUGGACGAACCUCUGGUGUUCCGGUUGUCACGCCAGUGGCAUUGCCGGGUAGCUAUGUUCGGAAAAGAUAACCGCUGAAAGCAUCUAAGCGGGAAACUUGCCUCAAGAUGAGAUCUCACUGGGAACUUGAUUCCCCUGAAGGGCCGUCGAAGACUACGACGUUGAUAGGCUGGGUGUGUAAGCGUUGUGAGGCGUUGAGCUAACCAGUACUAAUUGCCCGUGAGGCUUGACCAU
rfam:Pseudomonas aeruginosa PAO1, complete genome.